GCCACUUUAGCUCAGUUGGUAGAGCGGCUCACUCGUAAUGAGCAGGUCAACGGUUCGAGUCCGUUAAGUGGCU
rnacentral:tRNA from 1 species